GACAGGGGUCGCGGAAUCGGAAGCGGACGGCGCCGGUGGCGUACUUGCCGACAUCGGCGUCGGAGGAGAUGGGGUAGGGGAGACAACAGGGAGGAGGGGGAAUUGGUGGGCGCAGGGGCUGCUACAUCAGAGGACGAGGGAGGAGAGGCGUCACGGACUUGGGGGACGGGCGGCGGCGGCUGCGUGUUUGCCGACGUCGGCGUCGGAGGAGACGGGGUCGGCGGGAGGACAAAUCGGGGAGGGCCGGAGGGGGGACGUGUUAGUGAGCGGUGGGGAUGCUGCUGCAGUGAGGAGGCGGAAGAGGGCGUUAGGAGCGGACUGCGUCGGCGGCGCCGGCGGUGUGUGGAGCGGCAGCGGCGCUGCCCUCUUCGGUUCCACUGUCUUCUGUUUUCGUGAAGGAUCGAAUGCUUCGCUCGUUGGAUCUGGAUAAGGUUGGGAUGGCUAGAG
rnacentral:rRNA from 1 species